rnacentral:rRNA from 1 species
UACGGAGGGGGCUAGCGUUGUUCGGAAUUACUGGGCGUAAAGCGCGCGUAGGCGGCUUUGUAAGUUAGAGGUGAAAGCCCGGAGCUCAACUCCGGAACUGCCUUUAAGACUGCAUCGCUAGAAUUGUGGAGAGGUGAGUGGAAUUCCGAGUGUAGAGGUGAAAUUCGUAGAUAUCGGGAGGAACACCAGUGGCGAAGGCGGGGACCUGGGCCGAUACUGACGCUGAGGCGCGACAGCGUGGGGAGCAAACAGG